rnacentral:sRNA from 1 species
GUGUGUGCGUGCGCGGCCGCCCUGCCUCUGCCCGCUCCCCGGGCGCGGAGCCGCGGGUUUCAUGGGGCGAUUGCAGCGAUUCCCCCACCCAGCGCGACCUGCGGGCAGCGGCGGCAGUGGCAGGAGCCGCCUUUCCGAUUCCCUACGAUGCGGGUGCUGAGCUAUGGCAAAGGGCAGCGAAGUGACGAGCGAGACCCGCGUACGACUGUGAAAGCCACCUGGAGCCACCUUGCCGGGAUUGUACCUGCAGGCAGAAAGUCUUCCUACGACCGUCUUUUCCCCUAGAGGCACCAGAUUUGAUAUUUUCAAAGUGACAGAGAAAGUAAAAGAAUCCCAGAUAAAGAAAAGCUGAAGUAGUUAUUACCACUAGACCUGCCUUAAAAUAAAUGUUAAGGAGAGUUCUGCAGAUCGAAAUAAGAAGACAUCAAACAGUAGGUCUCAAUCAGUAAGAAGAAAUAAAGAUCUCAGUAAAGAAUCCCUGUAACCAUUCAUCCAGGUGUUGAGAAGAUAUGUAGCAGCCGAGCACCCAUCUUUUGACACCGUCCUCUGAAAUCAGCUUUGGAGAUGCUUUCACUCUGUCCG